GACGAACGCUGGCGGCGUGCUUAACACAUGCAAGUCGAACGGUAAGGCCCUUCGGGGUACACGAGUGGCGAACGGGUGAGUAACACGUGGGUGAUCUGCCCUGCACUUCGGGAUAAGCCUGGGAAACUGGGUCUAAUACCGGAUAGGACCACUGCCUGCAUGGGUGGUGGUGGAAAGCUUUUGCGGGGUGGGAUGGGCGCGCGGCCUAUCAGCUUGUUGGUGGGGUGAGGGCCUACCAAGGCGAGGACGGGUAGCCGGCCUGAGAGGGUGACCGGCCACACUGGGAGUGGGAUACGGCCCAGACUCCUACGGGAGGCAGGAGUGGGGAAUAUUGCACAAUGGGCGCAAGCCUGAUGCAGCGACGCCGCGUGAGGGAUGACGGCCUUCGGGUUGUAAACCUCUUUCAGCACCGACGAAGCGCAAGUGACGGUAGGUGCAGAAGAAGGACCGGCCAACUACGUGCCAGCCGCCGCGGUAA
rnacentral:rRNA from 1 species